rnacentral:rRNA from 1 species
GAGUUUGAUCCUGGCUCAGGACGAACGCUGGCGGCACGCCUAACACACGCAAGUCGAACGGAGAUAUUUUGGUUUACUGAGAUAUCUUAGUGGCGGACGGGUGAGUAACACGUGAGCAACCUGCCUCUGAGAGAGGGAUAGCUUCUGGAAACGGAUGGUAAUACCUCAUAACAUAACGAAGCCGCAUGACUUUGUUAUCAAAGAUUUAUCACUCAGAGAUGGGCUCGCGUCUGAUUAGAUAGUUGGUGAGGUAACGGCUCACCAAGUCGACGAUCAGUAGCCGGACUGAGAGGUUGAACGGCCACAUUGGGACUGAGACACGGCCCAGACUCCUACGGGAGGCAGCAGUGGGGAAUAUUGCACAAUGGGGGAAACCCUGAUGCAGCGAUGCCGCGUGGAGGAAGAAGGUUUUCGGAUUGUAAACUCCUGUCUUAAAGGACGAUAAUGACGG